GCCCCUGUAGCUCAGUUGGCAGAGCAAGUGACUUUUAAUCACUGGGUCCUCGGUUCGAGCCCGAGCGGGGGCA
rnacentral:tRNA from 1 species